UCCUGGCUCAGAACGAACGCUGGCGGCAUGCCUAACACAUGCAAGUCGAACGAAGGCUUCGGCCUUAGUGGCGCACGGGUGCGUAACGCGUGGGAAUCUGCCCUUAGGUUCGGAAUAACAGCUGGAAACGGCUGCUAAUACCGGAUGAUAUCGCGAGAUCAAAGAUUUAUCGCCUGAGGAUGAGCCCGCGUUGGAUUAGGUAGUUGGUGGGGUAAAGGCCUACCAAGCCGACGAUCCAUAGCUGGUCUGAGAGGAUGAUCAGCCACACUGGGACUGAGACACGGCCCAGACUCCUACGGGAGGCAGCAGUGGGGAAUAUUGGACAAUGGGCGAAGCCUGAUCCAGCAAUGCCGCGUGAGUGAUGAAGGCCCUAGGGUUGUAAAGCUCUUUUACCCGGGAAGAUAAUGACUGUACCGGGAGAAUAAGCCCCGGCUAACUCCGUGCCAGCAGCCGCGGUAAU
rnacentral:rRNA from 1 species